ACGUAGGGGGCUAGCGUUAUCCGGAAUUACUGGGCGUAAAGGGUGCGUAGGUAGUUUCUUAAGUCAGAGGUGAAAGGCUACGGCUCAACCGUAGUAAGCCUUUGAAACUGGGAAACUUGAGUGCAGGAGAGGAGAGUGGAAUUCCUAGUGUGGCGGUUCAAUGGGUAGAUAGUAGAAGGAACACCAGUAGGGGAGGCGACUCACUGGACUGUAACUGACAGGGAGGCGCGUAAGCGUGUGAAGAGGUGAG
rnacentral:rRNA from 1 species